rnacentral:rRNA from 1 species
AGACAACCAGGAGGUUGGCUUAGAAGCAGCCAUCCUUUAAAGAUAGCGUAACAGCUCACUGGUCAAGCGAUCCUGCGGCGAAGAUGUACCGGGUCUAAAACUAUGCACCGAAGCUUAGGGUUUGCAGUUUACUGCAAGCGGUAGCGGAGCGUUCCGUAAGCCUGUGAAGCCAUACCUGUGAGGGGUGGUGGAGGUAUCGGAAGUGCGAAUGAUGACAUGAGUAGCGACAAAAAGUGUGAGAGACACUUUCGCCGAAAGUCCAAGGGUUCCUGCGCAAGGCUAAUCCGCGCAGGGUAAGCCGGCCCCUAAGCCGAGGGCGAAA